rnacentral:rRNA from 1 species
GACGAACGCUGGCGGCGUGCUUAACACAUGCAAGUCGUACGGUAAGGCCCUUUCGGGGGUACACGAGUGGCGAACGGGUGAGUAACACGUGAGUAACCUGCCCACAACUUUGGGAUAACGCUAGGAAACUGGUGCUAAUACUGGAUAUGUGCUCCUGCUGCAUGGUGGGGGUUGGAAAGCUCCGGCGGUUGUGGAUGGACUCGCGGCCUAUCAGCUUGUUGGUGGGGUAGUGGCCUACCAAGGCGGCGACGGGUAGCCGGCCUGAGAGGGUGACCGGCCACAUUGGGACUGAGAUACGGCCCAGACUCCUACGGGAGGCAGCAGUGGGGAAUAUUGAACAAUGGGCGCAAGCCGGAUGCAGCAACGCCGCGGGCGGGAUGACGGCCUUCGGGUUGUAAACCGCUUUCAGCAGGGACGAAGCUUUUUGUGACGGUACCUGCAGAAGAAGCACCGGCUAACUACGUG